rnacentral:rRNA from 1 species
GUGUCAGCCGCCGCGGUAAGACGUAGGGCGCGAGCGUUGUCCGGAUUUAUUGGGCGUAAAGAGCUCGUAGGCGGCUUGUCGCGUCGAAUGUGAAAUCUCAGGGCUCAACUCUGACAUUGCAUUCGAUACGGGCAGGCUAGAGUUCGGUAGGGGAGACUGGAAUUCCUGGUGUAGCGGUGAAAUGCGCAGAUAUCAGGAGGAACACCGGUGGCGAAGGCGGGUCUCUGGGCCGAUACUGACGCUGAGGAGCGAAAGCGUGGGGAGCGAACAGGAUUAGAUACCCCGGUAGUCC